GAUGAACGCUGACAGAAUGCUUAACACAUGCAAGUCUACUUGAAGUAACUUCGGUUAUGGAUGGUGGCGGACGGGUGAGUAACGCGUAAAGAACUUGCCCUUUAGCCUGGGACAACUGUUGGAAACGACAGCUAAUACCGGAUAUUAUGAAACCAAGGCAUCUUGGAUUUAUGAAAGCUAUAUGCGCUAGAGGAGAGCUUUGCGUCCUAUUAGCUAGUUGGUGAGGUAAUGGCUCACCAAGGCGACGAUAGGUAGCCGGCCUGAGAGGGUGAACGGCCACAAGGGGACUGAGACACGGCCCUUACUCCUACGGGAGGCAGCAGUGGGGAAUAUUGGACAAUGGACCAAAAGUCUGAUCCAGCAGUUCUGUGUGUUUGAUGAAGGCCUUCGGGUUGUAAAGAACUUUAAGUAGGGAAGAAGAAAGUGACGGUACCUACAGAAUAAGCGACGGCUAAAUACGUGCCAGCCGCCGCGGUAACAC
rnacentral:rRNA from 1 species